UGAAUCAGUGUGUGUGUUAGUGGAAGCGUCUGGAAAGGCGCGCGAUACAGGGUGACAGCCCCGUACACAAAAAUGCACAUGCUGUGAGCUCGAUGAGUAGGGCGGGACACGUGGUAUCCUGUCUGAAUAUGGGGGGACCAUCCUCCAAGGCUAAAUACUCCUGACUGACCGAUAGUGAACCAGUACCGUGAGGGAAAGGCGAAAAGAACCCCGGCGAGGGGAGUGAAAAAGAACCUGAAACCGUGUACGUACAAGCAGUGGGAGCACGCUUCGGCGUGUGACUGCGUACCUUUUGUAUAAUGGGUCAGCGACUUAUAUUCUGUAGCAAGGUUAACCGAAUAGGGGAGCCGAAGGGAAACCGAGUCUUAACUGGGCGUUAAGUUGCAGGGUAUAGACCCGAAACCCGGUGAUCUAGCCAUGGGCAGGUUGAAGGUUGGGUAACACUAACUGGAGGACCGAACCGACUAAUGUUGAAAAAUUAGCGGAUGACUUGUGGCUGGGGGUGAAAGGCCAAUCAAACCGGGAGAUAGCUGGUUCUCCCCGAAAGCUAUUUAGGUAGCGCCUCGUGAAUUCAUCUCCGGGGGUAGAGCACUGUUUCGGCAAGGGGGUCAUCCCGACUUACCAACCCGAUGCAAACUGCGAAUACCGGAGAAUGUUAUCACGGGAGACACACGGCGGGUGCUAACGUCCGUCGUGAAGAGGGAAACAACCCAGACCGCCAGCUAAGGUCCCAAAGUCAUGGUUAAGUGGGAAACGAUGUGGGAAGGCCCAGACAGCCAGGAUGUUGGCUUAGAAGCAGCCAUCAUUUAAAGAAAGCGUAAUAGCUCACUGGUCGAGUCGGCCUGCGCGGAAGAUGUAACGGGGCUAAACCAUGCACCGAAGCUGCGGCAGCGACACUAUGUGUUGUUGGGUAGGGGAGCGUUCUGUAAGCCUG
rnacentral:rRNA from 1 species